GUCUCCUUGGUGUAGUUGGUUAUCACGUGGGUCUCAUAUCUACCACAAUAUGACUUGCUUUUCUUUAUAGCAGGGAAAUCCCAAGGUCGCCAGUUCGAGUCUGGCAGGGGACA